rnacentral:rRNA from 1 species
UACGUAGGGGGCUAGCGUUGUCCGGAAUCAUUGGGCGUAAAGCGCGUGUAGGCGGUCCGAUAAGUUCGCUGUGAAAGUCGGGGGCUUAACCCUCGGAUGCCGGUGAAUACUGUCGGGCUUGAGUACGGAAGAGGCGAGUGGAAUUCCUGGUGUAGCGGUGAAAUGCGCAGAUAUCAGGAGGAACACCAAUUGCGAAGGCAGCUCGCUGGGACGUUACUGACGCUGAGACGCGAAAGCGUGGGGAGCAAACAGG